rnacentral:rRNA from 1 species
UUGCCCCAGUAACGGCGAGUGAAGCGGCAUGAGCUCAAAUUUGAAAUCUCGCGCGUCUCCGACGUCCCGAGUUGUAAUUUGGAGAGGCAUUUUCCGGGCCAGCGCCAGACCAUGUUCCUUGGAACAGGACGCCACAGAGGGUGAGAGCCCCGUGCAUGCCUGGCUGCCUGGACCCUUGCGAAGUGUCUUCGACGAGUCGAGUUGUUUGGGAAUGCAGCUCCAAGUGGGUGGUAAAUUUCAUCUAAAGCUAAAUACCGGCGAGAGACCGAUAGCGCACAAGUAGAGUGAUCGAAAGAUGAAAAGCACUUUGAAAAUAGAGUUAAAAAGUACGUGAAAUUGUUGAAAGGGAAGCGCUUGAGAUCAGACUCAGCCCCUGGCAAACAGCCUGCCCGAGCCAUCGGCGGUGCACUUGCCUGGGGCCGGGCCAGCAUCGGUUGGAGUGGCGGGACAAAGGUGUCAGGAACGUGGCUCCCCUUGGGGAGCGUUAUAGCCUGGCGCGCAAUGCCGCCAACUCCGACCGAGGGCCGCGCCUUGGCGAGGAUGCUGGCACAAUGGUCUUCAGCGACCCGUCUUGAAACACGGACCAAGGAGUCUAACAACUACGCGAGUGUUUGGGUGUCAAACCCUUGCGCGAAAUGAAAGUGAACGUAGGUGGGACUGCCCCUCCUCGUGGGGGCCAAUGCACCAUCGACCGAUCCUGAUGUCCUCGGAUGGAUUUGAGUAGGAGCGUAGCUG